CUCUACCUUAGGUCGCAACUAGAAGAAAACCCCUGUUUUCUACUUUAAUGGGGUCUCCAGAUACAAACCAGGGGCCUGCCUCUCAGCAGCAAGUCUCGGUCGGAAGAGGCUGACCCCAGCUCCGGGCUGCACGCCGACGCCUCUUUCGUGGAGCCCGCCUGGGUGCGGGCUCAAGGCUGCUGGCGGAUGGCCUGUCCCGCCUCUCUGCUCUUCUCCCGAGGCUGGGGAAAGAUAAGAACUCUGGGAGGCCCCACACUUGAAAACCUCGUGGAGACCCUCCCAAUAUUCUCUUCAAAAUGAAAAUAACACUAACUUUCAAAAUAAGAGAAUGAAAACACGACAUUCAGAUCUUUCUCCUUGGCGACUCCAUGGAUAUUUUUAAUUCAAAGGCAAAUUUGUGGGCGUCCCAGCCUUGCCCCUGCCUGAGGUCCCCCAGGGUCCCUCCGCCCCAGGUCUGUCUGCCAGAGGCGUCAGUCGUCCAGCACCGCCGCUGGCACCCGCGCGUGCAGCCUCGGUGCCCAAAUCUAUUUAUUCCCCAGGAUGUUCUUUGUGUUUCUAAUUCUCCUGGGGGCCGUUCUUUUUUCUUUCAGUUGUCAGCGAAACAGCCGGAUCUAUAGAGGUUGUAGCCACCGCCUCGUCCACAGCCUCUGGAGUCACACAACCUAUGCCAAACGGACCUUGGCGCCCAAGUCACCAAAACCACCGCAAGCAACGGAGGUCGGGAGCCUCGGUGGCUGCUGCUGCGCCGUAUUCCCGGGUGACUUUGUGGAGGCGCACAGAUGGGGGAUGCCUCUAGCUGGCACUCAGGGCCAGCUGAUAAAUCGUCUCAUUUCCCGACUUGAUGGGCCGUGACCUGGGCUGGCCGAGCUGGCGGGAAGGCGGGGGAGGGGGACGCAUUGGCCAGGUGGGAGUCUCUGGGUGCUGGAUUUUGGUUGAGCAAGGGUUCGGUGUACAUAUCUCAGGGAAAGACCACGAAUGCCCACACCUCCACAAGCGGAAAUCCCUUCCCCGGUUUUCUGUUACGGCCACCAAGCCACGUCCUGGUCCCCGAGGACUGCGGGGCUUUGAGUGCGGCAGCAGCGCACACGGGCUCCAGGCGCCGCACCACCUCCUCUCCCUGGGGCCCCAGCGCUCGCCCGCGCAGUGCUGCCCACACCUACCCCGGAAAGGCUACGGAGGACAUGACUCGGCCUACUGUGCCUGGAAAGGUCCCUAGGCGUUCGUGAAAGCCGCAGUGCAGAGGGGUGGGGAAACGCCUCCAUUCUGGGUCCAUCCAAGCUUCCUAGAAAUUUACUUCAGGUCUCGGGAACUCGCACUCCAACUCUGCUCCAGGUGUCCAUCCUUGGCUGGGCUUUGGAGGACGCAAAAGAGAUCAGUACUUUGAGUAUACAACCCAGAGGGACCUUCGCCACAACAUCGCAAAGCAGCAGUGUCUACAUGCCAGUGCUGGCACUCUAGGCCUUAGGAGCUGUCACUUCACUGGCAAAAACAGCCAAGUCCCCAAGGACGAGGAAUGGGAAUUGACCCGAUAAUUAUGCCUCUUAGCUGGUUCCCACUUAACAACAGCAUUCAGAGUCUGCUGUGAUAUGUCAUUUUCAUUGACGCAUAUGAAGAAACUGGUUUCCCACACAGAUGGACUUGAGACAAGAGAACUUCACAGACCCUCUGAAAGGCUCUUGAGGACAUGCUGGUCCACAAAGGGGUCCUUGGUACACAGUUUGAGAACCAAUUCUAUAGACUAGUUUGAUUAUACCAGAAGGUUCCCACAGAGGGAACUGCUAUUCUGUCACUCUCCUUCAAGAUUAGCAUUGCCUUUUCUAGAUCUUCAUAUACAUGGAAUCAUAAGGUAAGCGCUUUUGUGCAUUCCAUUGUGCAGAUAUACCACAUUUUAUUGAUCCAUUCUAUUGGUGCACAUUUGAAUUGUUUUUUGUUUUUUGCUACUAUGAAUGGAGAACAUAUUUUUUGGUGAACACCUGCACUCAUUUCUCCUAGAAUUGUUGGUAAGUGAGCAGACAGAUGUUUAGCUUAACAGACUUUCAAGCCAUAGAACACAUUUUUAAUUGUUGAAUUUUUUUCAACAUAUAUUAUUUAGCAUAAAUUUCACAUUUCUCUUAUUAAUAUGUAAUAUAUGCCUGUAUAUUUGCUCUUUAUAAAUGUUGCUUUAAAAUCAAUGUAAUUUAGCAAUACUAUAUAUUUCCAUUACUAGAUUACUAAAUAAAAAAAAACUUGUUUUUUUAUGUUUGGGAUCAUUCAAUGGAAGAGAAAUCUAUGUCCUACUCUCAUUAGUGAUUCCAGUGGCUUUUUUUUUUAAGUGCAGUCUUUGGAGCUCUGAGAGGACACUUUUAUCAUCUUCAUAUUCCCAAGGCUUAGCUGUAUCAGUUAGCUGUUUCCACAUAACAAACCAUCCUAAAAGUUAGUGACUCAAAAUAACAUACAUUUACUAUAUCUCAUGAGUUUAUAGGUUGGCUGGGUGGUUCCACUGGUUUGGGAAAGGUUGGGUUGGUCUUAGAUGCAUGUUAACGCAUUAGCUGUCAGCAGGUAGGAUGGUUGAAAUGACUCAACAUUCCACGAGCCUCCGCCAUCUACCAGCUGGCCAGCCUGCACUUGUU